rnacentral:rRNA from 1 species
AGCAGCCGCGGUAAUUCCAGCUCCAAUAGCGUAUAUUAAAGUUGUUGCAGUUAAAAAGCUCGUAGUUGAAUUUCGGGAUUAGUGGGUCGGUCGUGCCACUGGUAUGCACUGGCCCUACUGGUUCCUCCUUCUUGAAGAACUGUAAUGCCAUUAAUUUGGUGUUGCAGGGAAACAGGACUGUUACUUUGAAAAAAUUAGAGUGUUUAAAGCAGGCAAUCGCUUGAAUACAUUAGCAUGGAAUAAUGAAAUAGGACGUUCGAUCCUAUUUUGUUGGUUUCUAGGAUUGACGUAAUGAUUAAUAGGGAUAGUUGGGGGCAUUAGUAUUCAAUUGUCAGAGGUGAAAUUCUUGGAUUUAUUGAAGACUAACUACUGCGAAAGCAUUUGCCAAGGAUGUUUUCAUUAAUCAAGAACGAAAGUUAGGGGAUCGAAGACGAUCAGAUACCGUCGUAG